rnacentral:rRNA from 1 species
GACGUAGGGUGCAAGCGUUGUCCGGAUUUAUUGGGCGUAAAGAGCUCGUAGGCGGCUUGUUGCGUCGACUGUGAAAACCCGCGGCUUAACCGCGGGCUUGCAGUUGAUACGGGCAGGCUAGAGUUCGGUAGGGGAGACUGGAAUUCCUGGUGUAGCGGUGAAAUGCGCAGAUAUCAGGAGGAACACCGGUGGCGAAGGCGGCAUCCUGGACCGAUACUGACGCUGAGGAGCGAAAGCCAGGGGAGCAAACGGG